UACGGGGGGAGCAAGCGUUGUUCGGAUUUACUGGGCGUAAAGGGCGCGUAGGCGGUCAGCACAAGUCAGUUGUGAAAUCUCCGGGCUUAACCCGGAAAGGUCAAGUGAUACUGUCGGACUAGAGUACAGAAGGGGCAACUGGAAUUCUCGGUGUAGCGGUGAAAUGCGUAGAUAUCGAGAGGAACACCUGCGGCGAAGGCGGGUUGCUGGGCUGAUACUGACGCUGAUGCGCGAAAGCCAGGGGAGCGAACGGG
rnacentral:rRNA from 1 species